rnacentral:lncRNA from 1 species
UGUGGAAGAGAAACUCUGAACUGUAGAGAAUCAGAAUGCUCAGUCAUCAAACCCACAAAACUGUAAGAGGAUUCCUUUAGAAUGACAACUCGUCAAAAUAGAAGUUCCUUUCUAGCAGAAAUUUGCUUAUGGGAAAACUGAGGCCCAGAGAAGCAAAGUGUAUUUCCUAGGGUCACACAGCCUAGGUCUCCAGACUGGAUGUCCUUCUUUCUGCAGGUCUGGAUGAGAAACUUGAAGGAGUCAGUCCACAAUAAUUUCUGGAGCAUCUACUUUGUACUACCUGCUGUUCUAGGCACUGUGGUUUCACUGGUAACAAGGACAGAACUACUGUCCCCAAGGAGUUAUGUUCUAAUUGGUGGAUGGGAGGACACAGAUUAGGAACACAGAAACAAAUGAGUCACCACCAUGACAACACCCUCUACUGGAAAGGUAUGAGUCAUCCCAGCUGAGGACAUCCUAAACCAGCCAGCCCCCAGCCAACCUAUCCGCUGACCACAGAUGCAUGAGUAAGACAGCUGUACCUAGCCCACAUCAGUAGAACUAGACAACUUGUCUCUAGACAACUAGACAACUAGACUCAAGUAAGAUGGUUGUUGCUUUGAGCCACCAAGUUCUGGGUUAGUUUGUUACACAGCAGUAACUAACAUAUGUAUACUUAACGGGUGUACAAUUUAUGACUCCAAACCAGGUGUUUUAAUGAAUCACCUGCAGAAAUGACCCAGGCAUGCACCAUGAAAACAAGAAUUCCUUUGUGUGUUUUGGAGGUGGGUGAAGAUGGAGUGUAGUCUAUUGUUUUAUAAUUUUU